rnacentral:tRNA from 1 species
GCCGAAGUGGCGGAACGGCAGACGCGGCGGUCUCAAAAACCGUUGGGGGUCAUUCCCCAUGUGGGUUCGAGUCCCACCUUCGGCACCA